CCAGUGACACCUGCCCCUACAACGUCCCCUCCUGUCCCUGAGGCUCUGAUGGCAGAUGCAACCGUCUCAGAGUGAAAGCUGGCCAGUGGAUGUUGUAAUGUCGAAGUGUGACUCCUGCAGGGACCAGAGAGAUGGCAGAGCCAGCCCCUGGGGGAUGGAGGGUGAAGGAGCCUGGUCCUUGAUGAUAUCACUGAUGGUUGGAGCCUGGGACCUGCCCUACCCAUGGAGAGGGUCUCCGCAGACGUCCUCCCCAGAAACUCUGCUCCUGUCAGUGGAUGCUUGCGUCAGGGAUGUUAAAGAGCCUCCGCUCCCCCAUCCACACAGCACAGGCACUGCCCAGAGCCUGCUGCGUGGCCACGUCUGGGCACGAGCCUACCAGGCCGGCUGCGGCAGCCCAGGAACAGCCCAAGUUUCCGGCUUCAGGGAUGCUGCAUUUCCCCAGUGACAAACCAUUCUUCUAUAGGUGGACUCCACAUGCAGGUUUUUCUGGUUAAAUGGUGAGAAAGAUAGUCCCACCCCUACCAUCAAAUACCCUAAAAAAGAAAUCAUAACCGGACUUUAAAUGUUCACGUGGUCCAAAGGAAAAAUCUCUUUUUCACAAAAGGAAAUCAUUGACUAGUUCUACAGUGAAGCAUUGCCAGCCUGCUGGGCAAGUUCCUUGGACUGCCGGGGCAGAAGCACCAGGGACCCUCCCUGCCCCUCUCUGCCCAGCAGGCCCCUCCCCACAGCAGGACUGCGUCUCAGCCCCUAAAGACGGAGAGCAGCUGCAGUACAGGAAGUCGGGGGCUGCGACUUCAGGGCGGGGAGCCAGGGGAAAGGUCACUGCAGGGUUUGAUGGGGGAAAUUCUCAAAGGUGACUUGAUAGAAGAGGCCAUUUUCUUAUGCUUUAUGCUUUUCCUAUGAAACAUCACUGAGUGAACUAACGAGUUAAAUCAGACCUUUCCAAGGAUCGGCUGGGAUGAAAUGAGAGAGUGGCAUGGACAUAUAUACACCACCAAAUGUAAAAUAGAGAGCUAGUGGGAAGCAGCCACAUAGCACAGGGAGAUCAGCU